rnacentral:rRNA from 1 species
CUACGGGGCGCUGCAGUGAGGAAUAUUGCACAAUGGGGGGAACCCUGAUGCAGCAACGCCGCGUGGAGGAUGACGCAUUUCGGUGUGUAAACUCCUUUUAUAUGUCAAGAAAAUGACGGUAGCAUAUGAAUAAGCACCGGCUAACUCCGUGCCAGCAGCCGCGGUAAUACGGAGGGUGCAAGCGUUACUCGGAAUCACUGGGCGUAAAGGACGCGUAGGCGGGCUUGUAAGUCAGGUGUGAAAUCCUACAGCUUAACUGUAGAACUGCACUUGAAACUACGAGCCUAGAGUAUGGGAGGGGCAGAUGGAAUUAGUGGUGUAGGGGUAAAAUCCGUAGAUAUCACUAGGAAUACCUAAAGCGAAGGCGAUCUGCUGGAACAUAACUGACGCUAAGGCGUGAAAGCGUGGGGAGCAAACAGGAUUAGAUACCCCCGUAGUC